GCCGCCACGUUCCAGAGGAGGGCGGACGGGUGAGCGAGCCCAGAGUCGCGUACCUCCGGGCUCUGGCCGCUUCUUUCCUCUCAAGCCGACCUUCGCGCUUGCUUCCUGCCGCCCCGUCCCGACCCGGGGCUGGCGACAAUCCCGCGGUGGCUGGUGACGUUCGCUCCGGCUUGGCCGAGCACAGGAAGCCCGCGCCUACGGUCGUGCGACCCUUUUAUAACCCACUUGUGACUCAUAACCGACCGGGCGGCUUUUCUGUCACCCCCCCCCCUUCCCCUCCUCCUGCCUCUUCUUGGAACCCACAGCUUGAAAAACUUUUUUUUUCUUUUUAAAGGAAAAGUCGAAAAAGUCCAGCGCCCCGAGGAGGGGUGUUUUCCCCUUUCCCUUUCUCGUGGGUCACUCGGUGUGUGUUUUCUCUUACACCCGCCAUGUACUUUCCUGACCCGCGCAGCAAGGCUGGGGCGCCAACCUUUGUUCGCAAUGAAAAGGAAACGCAUUCAAAUUACGGCCAGACGUUGCCGAGCUUUCAGUCGGCUGGAGGGGAAGUGCUGCUUCUUACAACUGGCUGGCUGGGGAGUCUACACCCUGCUUGUAGUUGAGAAAGAAAAGUGAAGCAAGUGGAAAGUUCUCCCUUCCUGCUCCUACUGAUUCAGCCAGAGGCAAGCGGUCCCUAACCGAGGAAGGAAUGUCUUCUAGGGACGGUCUGUGUGGCCACGCCCUUAUUUCCCUCAGAGAUUCCACAUGUAAGAGAAAACGUGAGACCCGUCUUUCCGAAUCUGGCUUAACAUAAUGAUCUUCACUUCCAUCCAUUUUACUGCAGAUGACAUGAUUUCAUUUUCCUUUAUGGCUGAAUAAUACUCUAUUGUAUAUCUUCUAAGAUUUCUUCUGGAAAAACUGACAUUUUUGGGUGUAAACUUCAUUUCUAAAGGAUUGCAGCUCACCUGAAAUAUAAGACCAAGUCAGAGAAAAACUUACCUUCACUCUGUUUUGAGGAUGUUCAGCUUUCGUUUUAGAAUCCAUCUUAUCUUCUUUCUAUGUUCAAGAAGGUCUUCAUUGUUUCUGCCCAAGGCUUCCUGCAC
rnacentral:lncRNA from 1 species